rnacentral:rRNA from 1 species
ACUCCUGCGGGAGGCAGCAGUGGGGAAUAUUGGACAAUGGGCGCAAGCCUGAUCCAGCCAUGCCGCGUGAGUGAUGAAGGCCCUAGGGUUGUAAAGCUCUUUCACCGGUGAAGAUAAUGACGGUAACCGGAGAAGAAGCCCCGGCUAACUUCGUGCCAGCAGCCGCGGUAAUACGAAGGGGGCUAGCGUUGUUCGGAUUUACUGGGCGUAAAGCGCACGUAGGCGGACUAUUAAGUCAGGGGUGAAAUCCCGGGGCUCAACCCCGGAACUGCCUUUGAUACUGGUAGUCUUGAGUUCGAGAGAGGUGAGUGGAAUUCCGAGUGUAGAGGUGAAAUUCGUAGAUAUUCGGAGGAACACCAGUGGCGAAGGCGGCUCACUGGCUCGAUACUGACGCUGAGGUGCGAAAGCGUGGGGAGCAAACAGGAUUAGAUACCCCAGUAGUCCCAUG